CACGAAGUAGUUCAGUGGUAGAAUACAACCUUGCCAAGGUUGGGGUCGCGGGUUCGAAUCCCGUCUUCCGCU
rnacentral:tRNA from 1 species